CAGCCAUCAUUUAAAGAAAGCGUAAUAGCUCACUGGUCGAGUCGGCCUGCGCGGAAGAUGUAACGGGGCUAAACCAUGCACCGAAGCUGCGGCAGCGACACUAUGUGUUGUUGGGUAGGGGAGCGUUCUGUAAGCCUGUGAAGGUGGCCUGUGAGGGUUGCUGGAGGUAUCAGAAGUGCGAAUGCUGACAUAAGUAACGAUAAAGCGGGUGAAAAGCCCGCUCGCCGGAAGACCAAGGGUUCCUGUCCAACGUUAAUCGGGGCAGGGUGAGUCGACCCCUAAGGCGAGGCCGAAAGGCGUAGUCGAUGGGAAACAGGUUAAUAUUCCUGUACUUGGUGUUACUGCGAAGGGGGGACGGAGAAGGCUAUGUUGGCCGGGCGACGGUUGUCCCGGUUUAAGCGUGUAGGCUGGUUUUCCAGGCAAAUCCGGAAAACCAAGGCUGAGGCGUGAUGACGAGGCACUACGGUGCUGAAGUGACAAAUGCCCUGCUUCCAGGAAAAGCCUCUAAGCAUCAGGUAACAUCAAAUCGUACCCCAAACCGACACAGGUGGUCAGGUAGAGAAUACCAAGGCGCUUGAGAGAACUCGGGUGAAGGAACUAGGCAAAAUGGUGCCGUAACUUCGGGAGAAGGCACGCUGAUAUGUAGGUGAAGCGACUUGCUCGUGGAGCUGAAAUCAGUCGAAGAUACCAGCUGGCUGCAACUGUUUAUUAAAAACACAGCACUGUGCAAACACGAAAGUGGACGUAUACGGUGUGACGCCUGCCCGGUGCCGGAAGGUUAAUUGAUGGGGUUAGCGGUAACGCGAAGCUCUUGAUCGAAGCCCCGGUAAACGGCGGCCGUAACUAUAACGGUCCUAAGGUAGCGAAAUUCCUUGUCGGGUAAGUUCCGACCUGCACGAAUGGCGUAAUGAUGGCCAGGCUGUCUCCACCCGAGACUCAGUGAAAUUGAACUCGCUGUGAAGAUGCAGUGUACCCGCGGCAAGACGGAAAGACCCCGUGAACCUUUACUAUAGCUUGACACUGAACAUUGAGCCUUGAUGUGUAGGAUAGGUGGGAGGCUUUGAAGUGUGGACGCCAGUCUGCAUGGAGCC
rnacentral:rRNA from 1 species